rnacentral:tRNA from 2 species
GGAUUAGUAGACAAGUGGCUAAGUCAUAGCUUUUUCAAUGCUAAUAUCACGGGUUCGAAUCCUGUCUAGUCUA